AUGGAAAGGUCAGGUGGAGGCGCCAAAUUCAUUAAUGAGUGGAUUGAGGGAAGGUUUGGGGAUGGGAGAGCGGCCGUGACCCUGCUGGAGUCCGGGGGGGACCUCCAGCCCCCCGGGGGGUCCCUGCGCCUCCUCUGCCGAGGCUCCGGGUUCAGUUUUGGCACUUAUGGCAUGCAGUGGAUCCGCCAGAGACCCGGGCAGGCGCUGGAGUGGCUCGCAGGGAUCAGCAACGGUGGUAGCACCGACUACGCGCCAUCAGUCAAGGGCCGGGUCAGGAUCUCCAGGGACAACGGGCAGAGCUCGGUGACGCUGACCAUGAACAACCUCAAGGACGAGGAUUCCGGAUCCUAUUUCUGUGCCAAAGCUGCUUAUGCUGGUACUUGGGGUGCUGCUGCUUAUGUUGAAGGUGCCAGGGGUGGAUCCCUGGCCCCAUCUCAGUGUCCCCACCUGUCCCCAUGCCCCAGACCCUUCCCCCAAACCUCAGCCCGUGGCCCUUUGUCUCAAGUCUCCCCCAUUUCCACCAAUGCUGAGCGCUGA